UAUCGGUUCAAGUCCUGAGAGGAUUCACUAAGAAGUGAAGAUGCCUUGUAACCGAAUAGCCUGUGUCUAUAUAGGGGGACUAUUAUG
rnacentral:sRNA from 2 species